AGCCAGCUUUUGCUUCAGUUGGAAAUUGCCCGCUCAAAUUAACGCUUUCACAAACAAUGCAUCAUUUGGGUCAUCAUUUCGCUGUGUGAUACGAUCAGGGAAGCAAGUCUGAAGUUAUUCUACUGAAAGCCUGUAUCUUUUGCCUGUUUUCAAGAAUCAGUCGAACCAUAUCGAAAAAUUCAAAGAAUGGCAAGAAGAAGCAUACCAAUCAUUUGUGACUAUAGACGAUAGAGGUCAGGAAGAAAGAGAAGAAGCAAUGACGAAAGCAGUAGGCCCAUCCUUGGUAACAACAUGACUUCUUCAGGGAAAGUUUAAUGAUCUCUUUGUGUCACCAGAACUGAGAAUCCCGUACACAUCCAGACGGACACGGAACACAAUCCUCACCAUCACCACAUCACUCGACCUUCUGUCAGAGGACACGAUGUCGAUCUCUUCGUUUUAUAUCUUCUAUUUUCAAUAUCCCACUUGCCUAGUAAGACUCUCAUAUUUAUUCAAAAGAUCUUAUUAGAUAUUCAGGAUGGAGACAACAUUCCAUACACGGCCAUAUUUACAUUUAAAAAAAUCAAACAUGCAGUGAGUUAAGAUAAUUAAGCUUCUUUAUCUAUCUGUGUUAAUUCUUUAUUGCUGAAAUCUAGUAUAAUCAACACUCCAGUGUCCUAAUAACUUUGGUUAAGGUUUGUUCCAUAACAAUAUCAGAAUUAUCUUAAAUUUGUAUAUUAUAAAAUGCUGGUUUUCACAAUUUCAAAUCUAAAUAGUGUUUUCUUAAUCAGAUGCCAAGUAUAUUAUUGGAUGUUCUGGGUAUACAUAUGACUAAGUUUGAAAAAGUUUCUUUUUGUAUAAUCAACAAAUGCAAAUGUUUGUGUUAUGACAUUACAGAGCAAAAUAUUUAGUUCUUUCAUAAUGCAUUAGGAUUUAUUUGGACAGAAACAGUUCGUACAUACCAAAUUCUCUAAUUUGUAUUAUCUACAUAUCACCCUUUUCACAAAGGAAUUUAUCUGACUAUUUGUAUUAUGGAUUUUUUCAUCAUUCUGUCACUCGAGUACAAACCCAAAUUUUUCCCUAUAUACCUUGAAUUUGUAUCAAAAUUAUUGUUUUUAUAUUUUCAUGAGGAUCAUAAUAACAUAUACUGAUACUGCAAUGCACAAAACUCUACAUCGAACAAAAGUAAGCAAAUAUACUUCCAGAAAUAAUGAAGUCAUAUGUAUAUUUUUAUAUUUGAAGUCCUUCAAUUGAAUAUCAACCUACUACCUAUUGCCAUAUUGUUUUCAACAAAAUAUACAUACAUGUAUUCCCUGUAUCGAGAAUGAAAUCUAAUUAAUGAUUAUAAUUACAACUUUGAAAAUUUACUUUGAUUUUUUUUAUGCGAAUUCAUUUUGAUUUACUUUUUUCUGCCAUGACUGUAUUUAGUGUAUAUACAUGUAAAUAUGCAAUAUUUUUAACGCUUUAUAAUGUUUUCAAUAUCAGGCCUCUCGAGUGGGGAUUCCUCUGGAAUGUACAUGCAAACUAUGCUCAGUGUAUUGAUUUUGAAUAUUUAGUAUAUAAUGCUUUAUUCGUUUCUUUCCUCUGUUACUUGUUUUACCGUUUUUUUUAAUCUACGAUUUAUUCUAAAAUAUGUACAUUUUCUAUUACUUUCUUUUGUAAUAUAUUUUGAAAAGAUUUUUUU
rnacentral:lncRNA from 1 species